UCAAAUAAUCUGGUUGUUAUUUUCAACAUGUGAAGAAGAAGACUGGUAAUUUAAUGUUUACAAAUGAAAAUGUGCCAUGAAAGUAUAAAAUAAAAGCACAUGCUUAAAUUUGUGUUAUUCUUGCUGCUUUGGUUUCUCUUUUUAUUUGCAAUCUGAAAUGAAAGCAAACUGAAUUACUGCAAGGAGCAUAUUUAGGCAACUGUUCAGAAAGCACAACAGUGAGAUAGAAAUAAUUUUGCAGCGCGAUUCAGUAGAAGAAUUACUGGCCUUUGGAUUGACCAGAUUGUGCAGAAAAAGCCAUGAAUGUUAAAUGUACCUCAUUCAUCUGUAGCAGUCAUGAGCUUUCGUUUUCUUGUCCUCUAGACUUGUGAAGGAAGUGGGUGAAGGCUCCCUGAAUGCUUUCAUGCAGUGUUAACUGGAACUUAGUACAGCAGCUUCAGGCUGUGAUUCUUUUCCUCAUACAAGUCCUACUUUCUCUAAAUCUCUCCAGGCAGAAGGUGGCAGAGGAGGGGAAGAAAAAAAGCCCUUUUGAUUGUUUUCUAGCUUACUGCCAAUUCUUUUUAUCAGGUAGAAGUGUACCCUCCAGCAGGGAGCAAGUGUUGCUGCAUGAGGAAAGCAGCCGUGGGUAAGCAAGCUACUUACUGCUUUGUGCUUACGCUCCACAGCUGCAGUUCUUAAAGUUGCAGGAUAGGUGAAUUUCCCUUAGCAGCCUUUUACAAGUGCAAAAUGUUUGAAAAGUUUCCUCAUUUACAGAUCCAGCAAAUGCAUGCGUUGUUAUGGAAUCUCUGCAAAGCUGCGUAGUUCCAGCUGCUGCCCCUUUUGUCUUGUUUUGUUCUGCUUUGUGCAACAGGAAAACAACUUAGAUCCUGUGUGGAAACAGAUCUGGGCUGCCUCUGCUUGUGCUGGCCCCAGAAUCUGGAGAGCAGGGAAGUGAUACACAGAGAAACUUGAGCUGUCUGGGUCCAAGCCAGCUGGAGUGUGGGAGCAGAGCAGGAGCUCAGCACAGCUUACUGGCUCCAGUGCUCUGCCACUCUGGUGCAGCUCUUCUGCUUCCAGAUCUGAGCUGGCAAGUGUCUGCACCCCUGUGCUCCUCAGGUAGAAAGAAGGGGGACAGAGACCCAUGCCUCCUGCCAGAGGAGUGAGACCAGACAGCUGUGAGUUGCCAGGUAACUACAGCUGAUUUUUCUUCUGCUUCUAUUUUGCUGCAGGGACUGGAUUGUCUGGGUUCACAGAAUAGCCUGAGUAUGCUGACAGACACCAAGUGCUUUUUGAUUGUCUGAGAUGCCAGUUUUGGUACAGAGGGUACCAACCUAUCCCAAACAGGAAGUAGCUCUCUGUGCAAGCUCAUGACAGCUCUUUAAGCACUAAAAGGCUCAGGCUUGAAAAUUUAGUAAAAACCAAACCGGUAAACGUAAGGCUCAGUGCUGAGUUGGAGCCAAAACAGGACUAUGGAGAGACCUUAUGUCUCUCUUACUUUAGAUUUAUUUUAAUAAUACUAAUAAAGGUGUUCAGGGCUUCUGGGAACACCAUGUAGAAAGAGGCAGAGAGACUUGGAAUUAAAAUAAAUCUGUAACAAUCAGAGGAGAAUGGCUUGUGUACUGCCAGAGGCAGUUGAGUUUCAUUUUCUCUCUGAUUCUGAAAGCCGGAGAGGAACAACAGGAACAAGGAUGUAUAUCUAAGAAUUUGCCCCCAGUGCAAAGUUUAAUCCAGUAUCUACUGGCCUCAGAAUUGUGUAGGGUUUUCACUUCGGGUUAUAUACAAGCACUGUUGACUUUGUAAUUUAUUUUUUUCCACAGAGAAAAUCAAAUACUAACAUUUCUUCCCAUGCAUGGGACAACACAUCUGUUAAGGAAACAAUUUCCACAGCAAAUGGCCUGGACAUGAGACGUAGUUCCUGAAGCACUUGAUACAAUAAUAGAAAGCUGGGGGGAAGAAUUAGCUAUUUCUAUAAACAGUAGUACAAUCAGCACUCCUCUGCGAUGCGUUUGUGAUCUUGUCAGCUAUGGGUCUGAAGGAAGUUUGCAGGUCAGUCAGGAGCAUCAGUCAUUCCAAAACAGAAAGUAAUUCUGACUGUGGGGAAGUAGGAAGAAUCAGAGAUUUUUGACAACAGCGUAAGAGCUAUCAGUGACUGUCACCUGCCUGUGAUAAUGCUGGGAAAUCAGCAGAAGCGUAGCUUGGCUAAUUCAGUCUUCAUCUUCGUAAGAUCUGAGAGCAUGGUGGAAACUUGAAGAGAGGUUGGAUGAGCUCCAGGCAAAGCUAACUGGUACAAUUUAAGAUGUCACCUGUGCAUGUCUUCAGCUGGGACUGUUAGAGUAGCUGAUGGAGUUUGUGCACUCACACUCACUCAGCUGUUUCCGUACAAAGUCCAGUAACUGGAGAUAAAUGUGCUUUUCAAGGGAAAAAUUUAGCUAAGCUGUGAAGGUGCUGAGGUGCAGGCCUGUAUAACCUCUCGUGGGGGAUGGUGACAUCUUAAACUUUGCAGCUAUUUCUUCUGGGAGCAUAGUUUUUUUUUAAUUUUGUUUGUUUGUAUUGCUAGGAGCAUGAGCAAAGCAAGGACUGUGCAACACUAUAUUUUAUGUGCCUCUCUUAUUGGAAUGAAUUUUGAAAAUGCAUGUUGUGUUUUGCUUGUUUCACAGGUUCCCUCCAAAGCUUUGCUGGAGAUAGUAUUUCUGCUUUGAGGGAUUUCACUUGAUGACAGCAAUGUUACUUUCACCAUUCAUUCCUGUGUAAAUCUUUGCCACAAAAAAAAAAUAAAAAAACACUUGAAGGAAAGAACAAGAAGAGAAGCAGGAAGUUUUUACAUACUGAAAACUUCUUAUGUUGCCACUAAUACUUAAUGGUUUUAUUUUUAAUUAGUUGGAUGUUUUAUAAAUAGGCUGAGAUUCUCCUCUACUCUGGCAGCACAAAAUAUUAAGCAUGUUUAAAUAGUUGCAGAGCCUUUGGUAAGAUGGCACCACAUGAUUGUCACAGGACUGGCCUUAUGGCUCAAUACCAAAACACUAGCGCUUAAUGAUAUCUUUGUAUAUCUCCACUUAGUAUAUAAAACAGUCCUAAAAGUUUGUUCCACAGUCUCCAGCAUAAGUUAUGUUCAUAAUUACUUGAAAAUCUUUUGUCUGAUAACAUGAUAGGAAUCAUGCUUUCAAGGAUUAAAAAAAAAAAAAUCUUGUGUUUCUUUUGGAAACUGGCAAAGUCAGUAAUUUUUCAAAAUUCAUUCUGCCUUUUCUAUCAGCAGCAAAACCCACACCAGUUUAUAUCUCCUAAUGAUUUGAUUUUCAAUGCAAGAUAUCUUCAGCGUUUUGAUCAGAAAUGGCAUCCUCAAAGAAAGUCAAGAGCAAGUUGAAGAGUUGCUGCAAUGCAAUGAUUUCCAGGAUUUUGUAUAGUCAGUAUUUCCAGGUACCUCUGGUUUAAAAAUAAGUCAAAUGUGUUACUUGAGGAUAAGUGCUUGACAGUGUUUCUGGAAAGCAGUGUUUCUAACAUCUAGUUACAUAAACUGCUUAAUGUGAAAUUAUUCUAAUAAAGUUUUCCUGAGGGUAGUGGUUCAGUUUAGUUCUGCCACUCUGAGUACAGCUUUAGCCACAAAUGCUUAUUUAAGCAGCCAAAACCAGUCUGCUUGCACACAUUUUGAGUAAUACACCAGAAGCAGCAUUAUCUUCUGGUGUAGCCUAGAUGUCAUUGCAGAUUAUGCUUAUCUCUGCCAGAGCACCUGAGUGACUCAAAUAUCAGCCUGGUAACCUAGAGAGGGAGUCGUACGACCUACAAAUGCCCUCCUGAGUCUUGUCAGAUCAGCUCCAGAUCAAAACUCCUUUCAGAGAAAUGCUUAGAGUCAGACCUGAGCAUUUUCCAGUACAGCAUUUUCACAAAUACAGAGCACUAUGUCCAUGACCUUGUUCCAUUUUGAAGUUUCUUCCUGCACAACCACUGAAAGCUGAAUGACACUGAGGGUUUUGCUGCCACCUUGCCAUGCUUAAAGCUCUUCUGCAGAGAGGAUAAUGGUAGGUACCCUGUAAUUGUAUAUGCAUGCUAUGCAUACUUAUUGGUACAACAGGUACUCAAAACCUGACUAUUUUUUUCCCAGUGGGGAAACAUGCAGUAAAAUGACAAUUAUAUUUGAAUACAGUGAUCUGCAUUUCCUGGUCUUUGCUAAGUUUGCUAAAUCCCACAGAAAAUCAUAUUAGUAAAACUGAUAGUCUGUAUCUUGCAGAAUUAGGUCUUUUCCAAAGUUUUGGUGAUAGAAGACAUAUGACUACCAGGUCUUUAUUAGUCAAGAGGCUUUGGUCCAUCUCUACAGCUGAUGUUCUAAAAAGCUUCCUUUAUAAAAUUAUACUUUGGAGCCUAGUAUGAUUUUCUUGGAAAUCUGCUUUCAGUUUUCUUAGGAGAAAAAAACAAAGUCAACAGUUAUUGAAGACACUCACCGCAAUUCAUCAGGACUUCAGCACCCUGAAGCAGUUCACACAGAAGUCAAGAUACGAACAUAGAAAUAACUUCAGUGGCACGGGAAUAUUUAAAUUCAAGUAUGUGACAUCUGCAAGGUACUCUCGUAUCUCCAAGUCCACAGGCACCAAAGGUUUCACUGGAAAACUUUGCUGGGAACCUAAAAUCAUGCAAACCUUCCUAUACCCGGAGACAUUGCCACACUGUGACACAUGGUGACACAUGACCACAGGGAAUCAAGACACACAUGCCUAAAGUCAACCAAGGAUGUGUGCUGGGAAGCCGGUACACUGAGUAGUCCUUAGCUUUAUACAAAAAUAUCUGUAAUUUUCUCCUUAAGCACCCACUCAGACAUCUUUCAUUAUCUUGAUGAAUUAGUUCUGACCUGAAGGGGGUGGGAGCAUCAGCAGUGGGUGGGUGCAAGUUGCUGCCAGGACCCUGCAUGGCAUGUGAUGUGCCAAAAAACUUUGUUGUGUGAAUAGCUGUGCCUCAGGCUCCUUGGGAAGCUGGUCUGUGCUUCUGUGUCAAGCAAUACUGAGGCUGAACAGUUUGCUCAGUGCCAAGAGUGAGAUUCCCUAACCUGUGUCUUCGUGUCUGGAAAAGAAGGGCUCUCUGUGUGCUCACAUUUGCAUUGUGUUCCACUCAAGCAUGUCCAGCCAGCUGGCCCCAUAGCAGGAAACUGCUGUAGUGGGACUUCUCAGAGUUGUUUUCUUCUCUAUGAACAUUUUUGGCAGUUUAUAAAGUCAUAGAAUGUUUCAAGUUGGAAAGCACCCAUAAGCUCGUAGCACACAUUGCUUGGUUCCCUUUCAGACACCUUGCAUAGUGAGAAAAAGGUCUCCUGGUCAUGCCUGGGACCCCAUUCAUAGAUGUGCACCCUCGUAUGGGUCUUGACUACUUUGUUGACAUUACUGAAUACAUCUUGUCUUAAAAGUAUAUGAACACGUGGCCCAGAGAACGAAGGGUUAAAGCAUGGCAACACCACAAUCCCACUGCCUUUGCUAAGUUUAGGCCUGCACAGGACGUGCUUCCCCUACAUUUUGAAAGCAGCCAAAGACAGCAGGGUUUGCAUUUGGAUGUAAAAGUCAAACCUUCCUCCCUGCGGUCUGCAGCCCGCGCGCCAGCAGGAUGUUGUGGUGGGUGACAGCCAGGGGUGAAGCCCUUCUGCAGAAAAGAAAACAAAACCAGUUCAUGUCAGCAGAAGCAAGAGGGAGUAAAUGAUACAAACACAGCUAACUAAAUGAUACUGCAAAUUUUUGCUUUAUGGCAAUCCAGACUACUCGUGAUCGUGCAAGCAAAUAUUUUAAAUUUAUAUGUUUUGAACAAAAAAAGAAACAUUACUGAAGCCGUCUAGAGAACUCCUGACUUGAGCUGUUUCUUGCAAGUUGAAUGUGUUGCUGUCAAGUCUCAUGACAGUCUCCUUUAAAUUUUAGAAACAAAACUAAUCAUAUUUGCAUUGUUAUUUACAGACAAUGUCAAUAAUCUUGGCCAGUUAAUGAUGUCUUUAGGGUAAAAUGCAGACAGUUGGCAUUUUAUCCAUUUAUAAUAAUUUUUUAAAUG
rnacentral:lncRNA from 1 species